rnacentral:rRNA from 1 species
UACGGAGGGUGCAAGCGUUAAUCGGAAUUACUGGGCGUAAAGCGCACGUAGGCGGACUGUUAAGUCGGGGGUGAAAUCCUGGGGCUCAACCUCAGAAUUGCCUCCGAUACUGGCAGUCUCGAGUGCGGGAGAGGUGAGUGGAAUUCCCAGUGUAGAGGUGAAAUUCGUAGAUAUUGGGAAGAACACCAGUGGCGAAGGCGGCUUUCUGGACCGACACUGACGCUGAGGCGCGAAAGCUAGGGGAGCAAACGGG